AGAGUUUGAUCCUGGCUCAGGACGAACGCUGGCGGCGCGCUUAACACAUGCAAGUCGAGCGAGAACCAGUCCUUCGGGACUGGGGACAGCGGCGAACGGGUGAGUAACACGUGGGUAAUCAACCCCUGACACUGGGAUAGCCCGGGGAAACUCGGAUUAAUACCGGAUGGCCCAACAGUUCUUCGGGACGGUUGGAAAAGGUAGCUUCGGCCUCCGGUCAGGGACGAGCCCGCGGCGGAUUAGCUUGUUGGUGAGGUAACGGCUCACCAAGGCGACGAUCCGUAGCUGGUCUGAGAGGACGAUCAGCCACACUGGGACUGAGACACGGCCCAGACUCCUACGGGAGGCAGCAGUGGGGAAUCUUGCACAAUGGGCGAAAGCCUGAUGCAGCGACGCCGCGUGAGGGAAGAAGGCUUUCGGGUUGUAAACCUCUUUCAGAAGGGACGAAGCCACUCAGGUUAAUAGCCGAGAGGGUGACGGUACCUUCAGAAGAAGCCCCGGCUAACUACGUGCCAGCAGCCGCGGUAAUACGUAGGGGGCAAGCGUUGUCCGGAUUUAUUGGGCGUAAAGAGCGUGUAGGCGGCUAGGUAGGUCCGUUGUGAAAACUCGAGGCUCAACCUCGAGACGCCGAUGGAAACCAUCUGGCUAGAGUCCGGAAGAGGAGAGUGGAAUUCCUGGUGUAGCGGUGAAAUGCGCAGAUAUCAGGAAGAACACCCGUGGCUAAGGCGGCUCUCUAGUACGGUACUGACGCUGAGACGCGAAAGCGUGGGGAGCGAACAGGAUUAGAUACCCCCGUAGUCC
rnacentral:rRNA from 1 species